rnacentral:rRNA from 1 species
UGGGGAAUAUUGCACAAUGGGCGAAAGCCUGAUGCAGCGACGCCGCGUGCGGGAUGAAGGCCUUCGGGUUGUAAACCGCUUUUAAUUGGGAGCAAGCGAGAGUGAGUGUACCUUUUGAAUAAGCACCGGCUAACUACGUGCCAGCAGCCGCGGUAAUACGUAGGGUGCAAGCGUUAUCCGGAAUUAUUGGGCGUAAAGAGCUCGUAGGCGGUUUGUCACGCCUGGUGUGAAAGUCCAUCGCUUAACGGUGGAUCUGCGCCGGGUACGGGCAGGCUAGAGUGCAGUAGGGGAGAUUGGAAUUCCCGGUGUAACGGUGGAAUGUGUAGAUAUCGGGAAGAGACCAAUGGCGAAGGCAGAUCUCUGGGCUGUUACUGACGCUGAGGAGCGAAAGCAUGGGGAGCGAACAGGAUUAGAUACCCUGGUAGUCCAUGCCGUAAAACGGUGGAUGCUGGAUGUGGGACCCUUCCACGGGUUCCGUGUCGGAGCUAACGCGUUAAGCAUCCCGCCUGGGGAGUACGGCCGCAAGGCUAAAACUCUAAAGUGAAUUGAC